AGGAAGCGCCGCUGCCCUGUGGCGACCGCGACCCCCCGACCCCCGAUCCCUCCCGGCAGCGCCCAGAGGCCCGCGCCCCGCAGGCUGGCUGCGAAGGGAGCACGGAGUGAAGCUCUCCGAGAAUAAGGCAAGGAUGAUAACUUCUGUGCAGUUUGGAGUAAUAGGACAGGAUUGGAAUGCACCUUGAAACGUGUAUGACUACGUGUCUGAUAGUACAUUCAAAGUAUACCUUCAGUAAAGAAAACAAGAGCCCAGGUUAAAACAAGUAGUAGAACUCAACUCUUCAAACAGUACAAAGCUACAAGCAAAAGUAAAAUAUUACUUCAUCACAGUAACAAUGCCAAGUACUUCUCUUC